UACGGGGGGGGUAAGCGUUGUUCGGAAUUACUGUGCGUAAAGGGCUCGUAGGUGGUUUGUCGCGUUGUCCGUGAAAACUCACAGCUUAACUGUGGGCGUGCGGGCGAUACGGGCAGACUGGAGUACUGCAGGGGAGACUGGAAUUCCUGGUGUAGCGGUGGAAUGCGCAGAUAUCAGGAGGAACACCGGUGGCGAAGGCGGGUCUCUGGGCAGUAACUGACGCUGAGGAGCGAAAGCGUGGGGAGCGAACAGG
rnacentral:rRNA from 1 species